UACGUAGGGGGCAAGCGUUGUCCGGAAUCAUUGGGCGUAAAGAGCGUGUAGGCGGCCCGAUAAGUCCGCUGUGAAAGUCCAGGGCUCAACCCUGGAAUGCCGGUGGAUACUGUCGGGCUCGAAUCCGGAAGAGGUGAGUGGAAUUCCUGGUGUAGCGGUGAAAUGCGCAGAUAUCAGGAGGAACACCAAUGGCGAAGGCAGCUCACUGGGACGGUAUUGACGCUGAGGAGCGAAAGCGUGGGUAGCAAACAGG
rnacentral:rRNA from 1 species